rnacentral:rRNA from 1 species
AUUGAACGCUGGCGGCAGGCCUAACACAUGCAAGUCGAACGAGUGGCGGACGGGUGAGUAAUGUCUGGGAAACUGCCCGAUGGAGGGGGAUAACUACUGGAAACGGUAGCUAAUACAGCAUACCAUCGGAUGUGCCCAGAUGGGAUUAGCUAGUAGGUGGGGUAACGGCGCACCUAGGCGACGAUCCCUAGCUGGUCUGAGAGGAUGACCAGCCACCCUGGAACUGAGACACGGUCCAGACUCCUACGGGAGGCAGCAGUGGGGAAUAUUGCACAAUGGGCGAAAGCCGGAUGCAGCCAGGCCGCGUGUAUGAAGAUGGCCUUCGGGUUGUAAAGUACUUUCAGCGAGGAGGCGUUACUCGCAGAAGAAGCACCGGCUAACUCCGUGCCAGCAGCCGCGGUAAUUC